rnacentral:rRNA from 1 species
GAUGAACGCUGGCGGCGUGCCUAAUACAUGCAAGUCGAGCGAACGGACGAGAAGCUUGCUUCUCUGAUGUUAGCGGCGGACGGGGGAGUAACACGUGGAUAACCUACCUAUAAGACUGGGAUAACUUCGUGAAACCGGAGCUAAUACCGGAUAAUAUUUUGAACCGCAUGGUUCAAAAGUGAAAGACGGUCUUGCUGUCACUUAUAGAUGGAUCCGCGCUGCAUUAGCUAGUUGGUAAGGUAACGGCUUACCAAGGCAACGAUGCAUAGCCGACCUGAGAGGGUGAUCGGCCACACUGGAACUGAGACACGGUCCCGACUCCUACGGGAGGCAGCAGUCGGGAAUCUUCCGCAAUGGGCGAAAGCCUGACGUAGCAACGCCGCGUGAGUCAUGAAGGUCUUCGGCUCGUAAAGCUCUGUUGUUAGGGAAGAACAUAUGUGUAAGUAUCUGUGCACAUCUUGACGGUACCUAAUGAGAAAGCCACGGCUAACUACGUG